rnacentral:rRNA from 1 species
GAUGAACGCUGGCGGCGUGCCUAAUACAUGCAAGUCGAGCGAACAGAUGAGGAGCUUGCUCCUCUGACGUUAGCGGCGGACGGGUGAGUAACACGUGGAUAACCUACCUAUCAGACUGGGAUAACUUCGGGAAACCGGAGCUAAUACCGGAUAAUAUAUUGAACCGCAUGGUUCAAUAGUGAAAGACGGUUUUGCUGUCACUUCUAGAUGGAUCCGCGCCGCAUUAGCUAGUUGGUAAGGUAACAGCUUAUCACGGCAACGAUGCGUAGACGACGGCACAGGGUGAUCGGCCACCCUGGAAGUGAGCCAGGGUCCAGACUCCUGCGGGAGGCAGCAGUAGGGAAUCGGCCGCAAUGGUCGAAAGCCUUACGGAGCGACGCCGCGUGAGUGAUGAAGGUCUUCGGAUCGGAAAACUCUGUUAUUAGGGAAGAACAAAUGUGGAAUUAACUAUGCACGUCUUGACGGUACCUAGUCAGAAAGCCACGGCUAACUACGUG